rnacentral:rRNA from 1 species
UACAGAGGUCUCAAGCGUUGUUCGGAUUCAUUGGGCGUAAAGGGUGCGUAGGUGGUGCCGUAAGUCGGAUGUGAGAUCCCGGAGCACAACUCCGGAACUGCAUUCGAUACUGCGGUGCUCGAGGACUGGAGAGGAGAUUGGAAUUCACGGUGUAGCAGUGAAAUGCGUAGAUAUCGUGAGGAAGACCAGUGGCGAAGGCGGAUCUCUGGACAGUUCCUGACACUGAGGCACGAAGGCCAGGGGAG